UGGCGGACGGGUGAGUAAUGUCUGGGAAACUGCCUGAUGGAGGGGGGUAACUACUGGGAACGGUAGCUAAUACCGCAUAACGUCGCGAGACCAAAGAGGGGGACCUUCGGGCCUCUUGCCAUCGGAUGUGCCCAGAUGGGAUUAGCUAGUAGGUGGGGUAACGGCUCACCUAGGCGACGAUCCCUAGCUGGUCUGAGAGGAUGACCAGCCACACUGGAACUGAGACACGGUCCAG
rnacentral:rRNA from 1 species